ACUUACCAAUCAUGCUGACACCAUCCACUCAAGCUUGACUGACUUGCCUACCCGAGUCCACCAUCAACAGUUGGCCCGAGUUUAAGGCCUAGUU
rnacentral:snoRNA from 1 species